CAACCCUGCAGAAUGUCUGCCGUGAGCAAGACCUGGAAACAAUGGGGUAAUUAGUCCAACCUAAGCCCCGUUGUCUGCUGGAGGCUCAGCCUCUAAGCCUGCAUCUGGGUGUCCACCUUGAGAUUUCUGUGGUUCCCCAAAGCAGAUAGAUGGGCGGGUAACCCUUGCAUUAAAAGCCAGUUAUGUCCCCUCAGGGCCUGGAAGCCCUUCUUUUCCUAAGUCUGGUGGGGCUCAGGCACCACCCCUUAUACAUACCAUCUUUGAAGUCAGUUACCCAAGAGGAAGCUGCUUUAGGCCCUCUAACGGUUAAAUGCCAACUCUCUGCUUCCGGAAGAAGGCACUGACCUGAUCCAGUGUGCCUAGCAAUCCCAUGGGGUCUGCAGCUUUCUGCUGGUGACAGCGAGGCAGGGAGCGAGGUCCACACAGGCCUCAGGAUAUGAACAGAUCCAUGCCCCCCCCCCCCAUUGGCCUGUUGAAGUAAUCUCCAGGCUUGGAAGUUAAAAAGUUGCCUACUACCCACAAAUGAGACUGCAUGCAGACUAAUUGGAACUGGCUGAGUUACACUUCCCAGACCAUACAGUGUCCUCUCCCUACUCUGGGCAGGGGCAAAUCGAAGCCUGGGUGGAAGAACAGAGUUGAAAGCUUGUAUUGAAUGUUGUUCUCCAACUAAAUAAAAGCUCCACAGCCUCA
ensembl:lincRNA Gm26532 predicted gene, 26532